GAUGAACGCUAGCUACAGGCUUAACACAUGCAAGUCGAGGGGCAGCAUGAACAUAGCUUGCUAUGUUUGAUGGCGACCGGCGCACGGGUGCGUAACACGUAUCCAAUCUGCCCGUUACUCGGGGAUAGCCUUCUGAAAGGAAGAUUAAUACCCGAUAGCAUUCAUUGGCGGCAUCGCUUUUGAAUUAAAGAUUUAUUGGUAACGGAUGAGGAUGCGUACGAUUAGCUAGUUGGCGGGGUAACGGCCCACCAAGGCGACGAUCGUUAGGGGUUCUGAGAGGAAGGUCCCCCACGCUGGAACUGAGACACGUUCCAGACUCCUACGGAAGGCAGCAGUGAGGAAUAUUGGUCAAUGGGCGAGAGCCUGAACCAGCCAAGUAGCGUGAAGGAUGACUGCCCUACGGGUUGUAAACUUCUUUUGUUUGGGAAUAAAAGACGCUACGUGUAGCGUUCUGCAUGUACCUUACGAAUAAGCAUCGGCUAAUUCCGUGCCAGCCGCCGCGGUAAAAC
rnacentral:rRNA from 1 species